rnacentral:rRNA from 1 species
CCUACGGGUGGCAGCAGUGAGGAAUAUUGGUCAAUGGGCGGAAGCCUGAACCAGCCAAGUAGCGUGCAGGAUGACGGCCCUACGGGUUGUAAACUGCUUUUAUACGGGAAUAACGCGCCUUACGUGUAGGGCUUUGCAUGUACCGUAUGAAUAAGGACCGGCUAAUUCCGUGCCAGCAGCCGCGGUAAUACGGAAGGUCCGGGCGUUAUCCGGAUUUAUUGGGUUUAAAGGGAGCGUAGGCGGAAUGUCAAGCGUGCUGUGAAAUGUCCGGGCUCAACCCGGGACUUGCAGUGCGAACUGGCGUGCUGGAGUGCGCGGAAAGAAGGCGGAAUUCGAGGUGUAGGGGUGA